UUUGGAUGGUUCCUUCCUAAUCUCCAUCAAGCAAACUUGUGCUCCUGCUCUUCUUCUUAGGCACCUGGCUCAGAUAAACCUAGGAGCAGAUGGAGCAAGGAUCUACGUGGUAUUCUACAUCAGGCUCCACAAAAUUUGUGACCGAAGUUGGUCUUAUGCCAGCCUACAAUUAUGCAGGAGCAAGAAGACAAAGGCUUACAUAUAUCCAUCCAGCAUAUUUCCAUCACCCUUCGCAGCCCUGCAACUCUGUUCACAGAUGUUAAACACCACAGCUCUUAUCACAAGUGUUAAAACAUAUGGUAUAUUGGGAGAAAGAAUGAACAAUUUGAAAGAAAUCCCAGCUGUUGCAUAGGAAGAUUAUUUAGCUCACUCCAGACUCCUUAUUCUACUGCAAAGAUAAAAGUGACCCAAACAACCACUGGAAUGGCCACUGGAGACUGGUAAUUUGGGAGGAUCUUAUAUCAUGUAAGUGUAACCAUACAUGAAAUGAGUUGGGAAGGGCACUGCACCCUGAGGAGCCUUUUACCUGCAGCAUAGUUUUGAAUAUCCUUGAACUGGCCUGUUUACACCAAAGAUAGACAGGUCCCAGCUAGAACAUGAUCUUUAUUCAAGGAGUAUAUUUUUGUAUCUGUUUCACUUUAGGC
rnacentral:lncRNA from 1 species